GAAAUUUACAGUAAAGUAAAUAAUCCGAGUACAAUUCUCCCAUCACUGCUGGCGAUUCACUCCACCUACGCCACUGACUGUAACAUAUAUCAGACGCACCCUUCAUAAUUAGGCGGUGUAUUUAAACUUCCACUUGUCUGUGCAGCUGUAACGUCAUUAACAAGCUAACCUACCAAUAGCCACAUUGUGUUGAUUCGCGACGUCUUUGUGGAGGAAUAAUGUGGGCUACUCCUCGCUGUUGCUGCCUUGUUGUGGAUCAAGUAACGUUAGCUUAUCGGCCACUUCAAGCCCUAAGUGGGGUUUCCACUCCUGUUGUGGAAGGACAACACCUGCCAAAGAGCUAUAACGUUAACUGCUGCACCAAGCUAGGGGGUUGAGGCGUUUCCAUAGCAGCCACCAGCCCGAGAGCGAGUCGCCGUAAUUAGUGAGGUUGGUUUCAUCUCGGCUGCCCACGUCAAUAGCUAUCACCACUUUAGCCCCCAUGGAGCGCGCAACAUCAGCUGAGAGAAGAGGAAGAAAUGGAAACAAAGGUGUCCAUCUUUGGGGUCGCAGAGAGGAGGCAGAUAACCAGACAAAGACAUGCUGGCUCGAACAUACCGCCACAGAGAACCUGAAACGGCACACAGACAUUGCUGAGGCUGGAGUUGAAGGAAGCACCGGAGAACAUGGAGGUGAUUGGGUACGUCAAAUCCAAAACCUUCUUAAACACCGAUGUCAUUUCCUGCAAGGGAAA